rnacentral:lncRNA from 1 species
CCAUUAGAGUUACUUGCUUGACAUGUGAGUAGACCUCCAUGCAAGUACUCUCGUUCGAUUGUGUUCAAUGAACUCAUUCCCUUAAUGAGCACCUACAUACUUGUCUUAGUGUCACAACACGAAUGGGAUGAGACUUUCCAUCCUUCCAUUUGAAGCAGACACAGUAUGUACCGGUCUAAGCAUUGUCAGUAUCCCUCCGACAAUCCAAUGACCAUGAACCUUUUUGGACAUUUGGUUAUGUGAAGAAGGUCUCUGUAGUCUAACAUCAUUAGAUUACUUCUUCAAUCGAUCCAUUGUCCAUGGAUACACUAUUUAGGACAUAUAUCGUUUAUUGAGAUAGUCCUAAUUAGUAUCUUUGCCAUUUGAUGUAUAAGAUUCAUCUAUACAUCGAUUUAUUUGUCCUGAAAGGUUUCUUCCAAAGAUUGACUUUCAGGGCAUAUUUCCAACAAUCUCCCACUUGCACUAAAGUCAAUCACUAGUGUAUCUUAUACAUCUUGUUGAGAGAGCUUUAUGCUCGUAGAUUAACUUGGUUAUGUAUUAAUCCCUUUUAUUAUUUAAAGGGAUUUUCUUAUCAAAUGUUUCCAAAACAUUUGAUGAUGUCUCUUUAUUGUGUUCGAAUACUUUGAUGAGACCUUGAUUCCAUGGCUUGAGCUAUCGCCCCAUUACGUCGUAGUAUCCUACUAACGACCUUAUGGUUUGGAUUCAAUCAUUGGUUCUAUAAGAACCCCUUCAUUCAAAACACCUUUUUGAAGCAGUUUCUAAUAUCGUCAUUUAUUUCGUUUGUAUACUUUAUACAAACUUUGCUCCAACCUUGAGACCAUUGUAGUACAAUACUAACAAUUCAUUCAUAUGAUUAGUACUUCAUCCAUUAUGAAGUUCCAUUUGUUAAAAUGUCUUAUUUUUCACUUUGGUUAAUAACCUAAGUGAAUGCACGCUUCCAGAGUCCCACUCUGAUGUUUCUUUCUUAAAGGCAAUAAUACUCCAUCAGUUGCUUUGGUUCUGAUCCUGGGAUAUAGUAAUAUCUUAAAGUGACAACCAUGUGGUUCUUCACCUUUGGAUAUCUACUUCACAAGUCUAUACAUGUGUCUCUUUUGUGAUUUUGUGACAUAUUCAUUAUAAGGGUUAUGAAAGUGAUUUUCUAUCACAUAGGAAAAAGCUUUCUUAAAUCUACAACAUUUGAGAUUUAAUUCCCAUAUAACAUCAUUGAGAUAGCCUUGCUAUAUCAAUAAGUCCAAUUUCAAGUCUAUACUUCAAAAUUGACCAUGUCAUGUUUUGUCAUUUUUCGAGUAACAUUUAUGUUUUAUCAAGUCUAUCAAAUAGACUUUAUUCACAUCAUGUUGCUCAAAUUAUAACAUCACUCCCACUGGCCUUGUUGUAACUUAGCAUUCAUUCAAAAAUAACAAUUAUAUUUUCUUGAUUUGAAUGCAUAUUGCUCCCACUUAACUUAAACGAAUCAUACACAAAAGAAUUCCUUCUCAAGUAAUUCCAUGAAAUGUGUGACUUGCUUUAUCAAGUCUAUUCAUUUAAAUUAUAUGGUGUCAUACAUCAUACUUUAAGUUUUAGUCAUACUAAGACCUUUAAUGUAGUCAUAUAAGAAUUAUCCAAGUCUUUAGUGGAAGCAUGGCUCCUACUAAGGAUAACAACUCAACCAUUCCUUCUAGGUGGUUGAUAUAAUUCUUUAUCAAAACUACAUAGAGCAUAUAUUGUUACAUGAGAUGUUGAAUUUGGAUUGUCUUGUUGUUAAACCAUAUGUUGUGACUCAUUUUGAAACUAUUCCCUUUUGUUUCAUCAACUUGUCCAUAUGCUUAGUUAUUUAGCUUGUUCUCUUAAAAGAGAAUGAAGGACAACUCCCAACAUAUAACCAUUUUAUGCUAGGUUGACGAAACCAACAUUCAAAGACUAUUCUUUAGAAUGUCACACAACAUAGAAUUUUAACGUUUGAAGAGCUUGAGUCCUUUAACAAUUAAAAUUACAAACUCUUAAUAAUAGUCAAGUACUAUUAUCCUUUAGACAACUAUAAACCAAUCAUAUUCAAGUUUAUAUCCAUUUUCACACCUCCCACUAUUUCUCAUGACUUUAAUGAGAAAUCAUUUCAUACAUUCAAAAUGUAUAAAAGUGGAUUAUAUUGGUAGAAGACAUUGUGUAGUAGCUUAAAAAACCUUUCAAGCUCAUUUGUUUCAAUCUUCACUAAGUUAAUGUCUUGUUAUUAAGUGACUAAAGUCUUUAAACAUUUUAUAGAUUUAG